UCGACGGAUUGUGGCGAAUGAUCCUUCCAAGUCAUUGGAGGACUAUUACGGUGAUUACGUGGGACAGCCAGAAUUGUUCAGCUUUACCGCUGGUGAUUUGCGUGUGCUUCAAACUUUAGCAGUUGCAGUGGGGAAAAACGGAUUGCAGAAAUAUUUAGCAGCCGAGAUUUCCCGCACCGUUCAUGAUCAAAACCAAUCAAAUUAUCAACCUCGACCAGUCGCUGAUGAACAUUCUGCUCUCGUUUCCCGCCUUUUGGGUCACUUUAAGCAAUGCAUGAAGAAUGACCAAGAGUGGCAGGAAGCAUCACGUUUUAUAAGUUCAAUUACAACCAAAUUUGAAAUUGGAUCCGGUGGUAAAAUCGUUGGGUUAAUAACCUGCCCGGCAUGUAAGAAAAAGGGAAAAGCUAAAAAUAUUAAAAUAGUUAAGGAAGCUACUAGGAGCUGGCCACUUUUCAACAUAGUUCGACAUUUCAACACCCAUCUCCGUUCAUCAACCGUAUCGAUAAGUGCAGCGAACAAGCAAAAACGUACUCAUGAAUCCUCCUCAAUAAUGCCAGCGAAACUAUCCCGUUCAAAUAACUCAACCGUCGGACCGAUUGCCGCUGAUGCGAAUUACAGCGAACCUUCUCCUGGUAGGUAUGACCAGGAAGCUUCAUUUGAGAUGCCAAACAUAGACAAUGUCAAUGAAGAAGGAGGAUCAAACAUUGAAGAAGAAUGCUUGUUCAAUUCAUCCAAGUUUCUAGGAGGCGAUCCUGAUAAGAACAUGAUAGAUAAUGACAACGUCAGUGAUAGGGUUGAUGAAAUUAGCCAACCAGAUUCUUUUCUCGUCCAUCUAAAGUCUUCUAUGCACCACCGGCUUAUGGGAUCCAAUUUACAUGCAAGACGGUACACUGAAGUUGAAAAAGAUAUUAUGACGUACGAAUAUCUCACGGCGGGGAAUUCUUUUUUUGAAUACACAUCUUCCAAUACAACAA